GACGGGGACCCGCACAAGCGGUGGAUGAUGUGGAUUAAUUCGAUGCAACGCGAAAACCUUUACCUACCCUUGACAUGUCCGGAAUCCCGAAGUAGAUUUGGGAGUGCUCGCAAGAGAGCCGGAACACAGGUGCUGCAUGGCUGUCGUCAGCUCGUGUCGUGAGAUGUUGGGUUAAGUCCCGCAACGAGCGCAACCCUUGUCAUUAGUUGCCAUCAUUUGGUUGGGCACUCUAAUGAGACUGCCGGUGACAAACCGGAGGAAGGUGGGGAUGACGUCAAGUCCUCAUGGCCCUUAUGGGUAGGGCUUCACACGUCAUACAAUGGUCGGUACAGAGGGUUGCCAACCCGCGAGGGGGAGCUAAUCCCAUAAAGCCAGUCGUAGUCCGGAUCGCAGUCUGCAACUCGACUGCGUGAAGUCGGAAUCGCUAGUAAUCGUGGAUCAGCAUGUCACGGUGAAUACGUUCCCGGGUCUU
rnacentral:rRNA from 1 species